CACGUAGGGGGCAAGCGUUGUCCGGAUUUAUUGGGCGUAAAGAGCUCGUAGGCGGUUCGGUAAGUCGGGUGUGAAACCUCCAGGCUCAACCUGGAGAUGCCACCUGAUACUGCUGUGACUCGAGUCCGGUAGGGGAGCGUGGAAUUCCUGGUGUAGCGGUGAAAUGCGCAGAUAUCAGGAGGAACACCAGCGGCGAAGGCGGCGCUCUGGGCCGGAACUGACGCUGAGGAGCGAAAGCCAGGGGAGCAAACGGG
rnacentral:rRNA from 1 species